UUUUUCAAUAAUACUAUACUUACACCAUGCAAAUUCAUUUAUUUUAAGGGAAAAUUGGAAAAAUUGGGCGAGUGUAGUACUAGGAUGGGUGACCUCCCGGGAAGUCCUCGUGUUGCAUCCC
rnacentral:rRNA from 1 species